rnacentral:rRNA from 1 species
GACGAACGCUGGCGGCGUGCUUAACACAUGCAAGUCGAACGGAAAGGCCCUGCUUUUGUGGGGUGCUCGAGUGGCGAACGGGUGAGUAACACGUGAGUAACCUGCCCUUGACUUUGGGAUAACUUCAGGAAACUGGGGCUAAUACCGGAUAGGAGCUCCUGCUGCAUGGUGGGGGUUGGAAAGUUUCGGCGGUUUGGGAUGGACUCGCGGCUUAUCAGCUUGUUGGUGGGGUAGUGGCUUACCAAGGCUUUGACGGGUAGCCGGCCUGGGAGGGUGACCGGGCACAUUGGGACUGAGAUACGGCCCAGACUCCUACGGGAGGCAGCAGUGGGGAAUAUUGCACAAUGGGCGGAAGCCUGAUGCAGCAACGCCGCGUGCGGGAUGACGGCCUUCGGGUUGUAAACCGCUUUCGCCUGUGACGAAGCGUGAGUGACGGUAAUGGGUAAAGAAGCACCGGCUAACUACGUG